rnacentral:rRNA from 1 species
GACGAACGCUGGCGGCGUGCCUAAUACAUGCAAGUAGAACGCUGAAGGAGGAGCUUGCUUCUCUGGAUGAGUUGCGAACGGGUGAGUAACGCGUAGGUAACCUGCCUGGUAGCGGGGGAUAACUAUUGGAAACGAUAGCUAAUACCGCAUAAUAGUAGAUGUUGCAUGACAUUUGCUUAAAAGGUGCAAUUGCAUCACUACCAGAUGGACCUGCGUUGUAUUAGCUAGUUGGUGGGGUAACGGCUCACCAAGGCGACGAUACAUAGCCGACCUGAGAGGGUGAUCGGCCACACUGGGACUGAGACACGGCCCAGACUCCUACGGGAGGCAGCAGUAGGGAAUCUUCGGCAAUGGACGGAAGGCUGACCGAGCAACGCCGCGUGAGUGAAGAAGGGUUUCGGAUCGUAAAGCUCUGUUGUAAGAGAAGAACGAGUGUGAGAGUGGAAAGUUCACACUGUGACGGUAUCUUACCAGAAAGGGACGGCUAACUACGUG